rnacentral:snRNA from 14 species
AGCUUUGCGCAGUGGCAGUAUCAUAGCCAAUGAGGCUUAUCCGAGGCGCGAUUAUUGCUAAAAGAAUUAGGACAUCCUAAAUUUUGCAGGCAAAUGGGUG